UAGGAAAUUCCGCCCAACAUA
rnacentral:piRNA from 1 species